GGAGCUGAAGCCUAAUGGUUUGGCGGUAGAUUGUAAAUCUAUUAACUUUUGUUAUUGGGGGUUCGAGUCCCUCCAGCUUCA
rnacentral:tRNA from 1 species